AAUCAACGCUGGCGGCGUGCCUCAGACAUGCAAGUCGAACGAUUAAACUUUCCUUCGGGAAAGAUAUAAAGUGGCGCACGGGUGAGUAACACGUAAGUAAUCUACCCUCGAGUGGGGAAUAACGUUCGGAACGGACGCUAAUACCGCAUAAUGCAGCGGCACCGCAAGGUGACAGUUGUUAAAGAUUUAUCGCUUGAGGAGGAGCUUGCGGCAGAUUAGCUGGUUGGUAAGGUAACGGCUUACCAAGGCUACGAUCUGUAACCGGUCUAAGAGGACGGUCGGUCACACUGACACUGAAUAACGGGUCAGACUCCUACGGGAGGCAGCAGUCGGGAAUUUUGGGCAAUGGGCGAAAGCCUGACCCAGCAACGCCGCGUGAAGGAUGAAGUAUUUCGGUAUGUAAACUUCG
rnacentral:rRNA from 1 species